rnacentral:lncRNA from 1 species
UUUUAACACCCUCAUAAUAAAAAAUUUCUUCUUUAUAUCUAGUCUGGAUCUACCCUUUUUAGUUUAAAACCCUUAACUGCUUGUCCUAUCUCCAUGGUGCUCAAAUUGCAGUGCCAGCUGAAGUAGGUUUUUCUUUGCAGCCCAGUGGUCUCAGCUCAGUUUAGGCAUUUGAAAACAAACAAUCCCAAAUCAUAAAAACCUGGGCUAGAGCCUUGGCUUAGAAAGGCUAGGUGUGUUUUCUGACUUGUAUGUUGAGACCCAGUUGUAAAGAUUGUCAACUUUGAUGUGUUUUGUCUAGCUACUUAUAAGCCUUGAUGAAGGAAAGCAGCGGGACCAUGAAAGCUGGGUUGCAUGUACAGUUUUCUAAAGGGCUCUUCUCUAGUGGUGACUUGAUGUGCAAAUCUAAGGCAAUUAGGAUUUCUUCCCUUCUGGCUCUUUGAGCUGGAGGUCACCAGCAGCAAACAUCCACUUGGUUGUUUGUACCUCCACACUGUUAUUUCUCUCUGGGUUAAAGUCAUCCUCUUGGAAUGGCUUCCCUUGUUUUGCUUUUGAAGCCACAAAUCGUGGCCCAUCUACUGCAUUUCAUGGUGUAGUGUUGAAGUAGUUAAUAGUAUGUUAAGGGAGAAAAUGCAACACCUUUGGAAUCUUGUUUACAGAAUUCACAAUAUAGCAAUACGUAGGGUCCUACUCUAGGUUAUCUAGAAGACAUCUGCCAAGAACAGCAUUCUGCUGCUGUGAAGCAUAUCUGAUGCAUAUUGGAAUUCAGCCUGUUUAUGGCCUAAAACAGGAACAUCCUGGAAUUAAAUUUAGAUUAGAUUAAUUCUAAAUGCCACCUCCCUUUUGUUUAAUUACCUGUACUAGAAGGACGUUGCUCUAGACAGAUGAGAAGAAAGGAAAUAAUGGAAUAUUAAAAUAUUUAAAGGAAUAGUAGAAAAUAACUUUGCAAUUACAAAUACGAGUUUCCAACAUGCCAUGUAGUGUCCAGAGGAUUAAAGAGCAUAUGCAUAACUCUUUAGCAGGACCUUUAAAGCAGCUCUUGCACAUAGUUGGAAAAUGCUUAGGAAGGUCUGGAAAUGGAGGUAUCAUGGAGCUGGUUUCUCUGGAUUUGUCUAGUGUCUGCUUAUUUUUGGCAUCAAAAAAGGAAACCUGAGACCUUCUGUGCUGAAACAUUUCCGAGGGCUUUUUCCACUGUGGGUUCUCUGGUAUGCAGUAAAGGCAAGUGUCCUUAGUUCAGCUGGGUGAGAGUUAAUUUUCCGUUAAGUAACUGGUACAGUGCCAUGUUUUGGAUUUAGUAUGACAAAAACAUAGACAAUUCUCUGAUAUUUUAGUUGUUGCAAGCCGGCGGCUGCUUGGUACUCAGUUGCCAGCUGGGGUUAAGCUGUGACAGCAAAUUCAGAUUGCGACAUUUCCCCGACCAGGGCAACUGCAGCUGCCUCCUUUCCAUGGCCUCUGAGUCUCAUGAAACUUAAUUUCCUUUGUUGUGCUUGGCUGAAGUUGGCCCGUGGGUUCAAAAGCAAAUGCUUUCAUCUUGCACGAAGUACGGGCUCGUAAGAUUGUGUUUUUCUAGAGAAACCAGGCUGAAGAACAGCAGAGCCUAGAGCUGUAUUGAUUCCUGUCUGCUGGAAGGACUAGGUAGUUCAGGGUUAGGGAUUGCUUCGACUUUUUGGGGUUGCUGGAUAGCUGGAUAUAGUGGGGAAGGCUGGUCUUUGCUCUACAGUGUUUGGGGUCAAUGUCCUUGUAGUUUCACGUCCUUGGAUCUUGUCUUUCUGUGCUGCUGCUGGGCUGGGUGAUGUGUUCGGAGCAGCCCUGCCUUGGCUGAGAAAUGCCAGCAGGUUGUGCUGCGGGGCUCCACAAGAGCUUGUCUGUUCAGCCUCCCUCUGGCAGGGAAACCCCAAAGGAUCUGGGAAAAAGGUCUCUGCCUGAUCCGGGGCUUCCUGGUUAGCCCUGGGUGAUGUUCAGCUUGUGCUUUGGCUGGAGUUAUGUUUGUAUUACAAUGUUUGAAGGAGAGGUUCUGCAAGCACGCAGAACUUGCCCAGCAUCCUCCUGGUCCAAAUUAAGAGGGCUAAAUCUGUUUUAGACUGGAUUAUACCAUCUGUUUGAAAAAGCAAACAAAUAACUUGUCUUCAUGAAAAGUGGCUAAAUUAUUUUAACUCUUUCAAGCUGGGAGAGGUGAAACCAAUUACACUGUUUUUGAGGGUCAUGGACUUUUGCAACUUGUUCCUGUUCUUUACUGCAGAUCAUAUAGCCAAAGCUUGUGAGUAUCAAUACUGUUACAUCUUUCACAUAACUCUUGUAACAUUGAGAAAAGGAAAAGAAAGGAGGAGGUGUUUAUUCAUCUGGAAAAAGCUCACAUUUAGAAGUGACUGUCAUGGCUAGUUAAAACAAAAACAACCAAUCAAGAUUUAACCACGUUCUAAAGUUUAAAUUAAUCUCUACUCUCAAAUUUUGAGAUUACAGUCACUGCUGCAGAUUACAAAGCAGGAAUUUUCAAAAGUACCUAUGUUGUGAUUUCUCACAAGUGCUGCACCCACUAUAGGCAUUUUCCUGAGCAACUUUACUCAUUCUUGAUCACUGCAGUUAAGGUGAACUCAGCAGACGACUAAUGACCAUCGUGGGCUGUACCAGGGGGCAGAAGUUCCCCUGCUCUUGCAAAACUGAAACCUUUUACUGCAGUAGAGGAGUGGGGAUGUGCACAGUGGCUGCCAGCUUGUCCUGCAGCCUUGUGGCUUCAGGCAGCAACAAGACUGUCAUUAGUUCAGUGUGGUACCUUGUGUGAUCAGGUGGUGCCAGGGAGCAGAUGAGCCUGUAAAGAAAAGAGAGUUUGCUCUGGGAGGAAGCUUUGCUGAUAGUGGUGCACAGGGCAGUACUGUUAGGGAGCAGCUGAAAUCCUUGUUGAUGACUUUUAUCAGAACUAGGGGAAGCUUGUUAUGUAGGGAGGUGCUGAUAUGCUUGUUCAAGGGACAGGGAGUAAAUGGAAACAACUUUUGAUGAACUGUUUAUUUCUGACCAGCUCAGCUAUGGGCACUUGCUGCUGGUAGAAGACAACUCUAGGCUGAUUCUUCCUGCAUACAUCCUGGUGAGUAUUCCCAGCAGUGAGAGAGCAGCAGCAGUGCUGUGUGUGCUACAGCCAGUGCCUACAAGUUCCAGGCAAAAAGCUGUCUGAUCUGCAGGAAAAAAGCCAGCUGUCCUAUCUCAUUCUCCUGAUUGCUGGGUCAAAGUGUACUGCAGAGAUGUUGUAAGAGCUCAAGGCAAGUUGUUUUCAGCUUUUUAUUCCCCAAUUUAUUGAUCUUUACAUAUACCUACAUGUCUUCAGUAUUUAGAUUGAAGUACUAUUGGGCUAAAGAUCUUCAGAACACCAUGAUCUUCCCUGCUAAAGGCACCCUGGAGUGGGUCAAUUUUUAAUGGAGCUUUCCUGAGCUGGGGUUUAAGUCUCCAGCAUCUCACAGAGGGUCAGACAGAACUGGUCCAAAACUGCCUUGGGAAUUUUGGUGGAAAGUUUUAUACUUUUUAUCCUACUUCAAUCUGCAAGGAGGAGUAGAGAGACUCUUCUGCAGGAAAGAGCAAUCUCCUACAUCAGAAGUUUGUGAAACACAGUGAACAUCCCAUUUGGAAGGGAAUAGUGAGCCUCAUGAGCACAGCCUCCAUGCCUCUCCUGAAUUACAGUCCUGGGGCCUGUUUAUAGCCAAACAUAAAACUUUUUCAAAAGAUGAUCUCACCUGUUGAAAAUCACAUCCAUGUGAAUCAAAGCAGGAAGGGGAGCGGUGGCUGAAAGGGAUGGAGGGCUCCACAUGGGCAGCAGAUGCACAUGGCUUGCAGUAGGACAACCCAUGUGGUUUUUUUCCAGCUGUGAGCCUUGGUUCUGCCAUCAGUGUGUGUGAGCCUUGGUAGAGUGUACUUUUUGUUGAAUGUUUGCAGUUUUGUUUGACAGCGGGAAAUGCUGGAAAAUGUUAGUGAGAGCUGUCAAACCCUGUAAUGAUCUCCCAAGGGAAGGAGUAGCAUCCCUACAGGAGUUCAAAUCCUUACAGACUUAAUGUGGCAUAGGAAAAAUCCUGGCAAUGAAAGGAUGACCUGAGAACUCUUCUGUGAAGAAGUAAUGAAUGAUGUGAGCUGGAGAGAUCUGUGUGCCUGCUAAAGGUAAAGGAAGAUCAGGCAUUUCUGUUAAGAACAGUCCUUCUAUAAUUGGACUUGGCUAUUAUUCUUCAUACUUCUGGGUUUACAUGAUUGCUGGCCAGAUAAAAGCAAAAUAUUCCUUUGAAUGCAUUUGUACAGAACUGUCUGCAGAGGGAAUUAAAAACCAGAACAGAAACACUCUUUGAGGUAUGUGAUAUUUGUACUCAAGUCAAUUGUCUGCCCAAUGAGUUGCUGGCUGAAAACACUGGGCUGAGAAGAUCCAUGUGGCAGAGUCACAGAGCCAUUUCUGGCCACAGGACUGGGUAAAGGUUUGCUACAUUACCAUGUCCUUUACUUAACUUAGGUUUAAAGCUAUUCUGAUGCCUGUCACUAAGGGAGAGCGCUGCAGCAGUGAGGUGAGGUUGCCUCAUGUCCCUACCAUGGUGUGUGGAUGCCCACUGUGGCUGCUCCUUCCCACCCUCAACGUGUGUGUUCAUGUGGGCAUGUCUUGGUCUAGGAAUUGUCCCACAACAACUUUGAAAUAUAUAGUCUUCACCUAUUGCCACCACAGAUGUCAUGGCUCUUUUUGAAGGAAAAGGCAAGGUCUCUCCUGUUAAAAAAAAAAAAAAAAAAAAAA